UACGUAGGCAGCAAGCGUUGUUCGGAAUUACUGGGCGUAAAGAGUGUGUAGGCGGUGCUCUAAGUUCGGUGUGAAAUCUCCUGGCUCAACUGGGAGCUUGCAGGCGAAACUGCCGUGCUGGAGUGUGGGAGAGGUGCGUGGAAUUCCUGGUGUAGCGGUGAAAUGCGUAGAUAUCAGGAGGAACACCUGUGGCGAAAGCGGCGCACUGGACCACAACUGACGCUGAGGCGCGAAAGCUAGGGGAGCAAACAGG
rnacentral:rRNA from 1 species